rnacentral:rRNA from 1 species
UACGAAGGGGGCUAGCGUUGCUCGGAAUCACUGGGCGUAAAGCGCACGUAGGCGGAUUGCUAAGUCAGGGGUGAAAUCCUGGAGCUCAACUCCAGAACUGCCUUUGAUACUGGCGAUCUUGAGUCCGGGAGAGGUGAGUGGAACUGCGAGUGUAGAGGUGAAAUUCGUAGAUAUUCGCAAGAACACCAGUGGCGAAGGCGGCUCACUGGCCCGGUACUGACGCUGAGGAGCGAAAGCGUGGGGAGCGAACAGGA